UACGUAUGUCGCAAGCGUUAUCCGGAAUUAUUGGGCAUAAAGGGCAUCUAGGCGGCCAGAUAAGUCUGGGGUGAAAACUUGCGGCUCAACCGCAAGCCUGCCCUGGAAACUAUGUGGCUAGAGUACUGGAGAGGUGGACGGAACUGCACGAGUAGAGGUGAAAUUCGUAGAUAUGUGCAGGAAUGCCGAUGAUGAAGAUAGUUCACUGGACGGUAACUGACGCUGAAGUGCGAAAGCUAGGGGAGCAAACAGG
rnacentral:rRNA from 2 species